rnacentral:pre_miRNA from 1 species
AGUGAGAUAACUGGAUCAAAUGGUGGCUCAUUCCAGGUUUUCUGAAGAAUCUCCACACAGUUUUCCAGAGUGGUUGCACCAAUUUGCAUUUCCACCAGCAAU